CUCAGGAUGAACGCUGACAGAAUGCUUAACACAUGCAAGUCGACUGGAAUUCUUCUUCGGAAGAUAGUACGGUGGCGGACGGGUGAGUAACGCGUAAAGAAUUUGCCCUUCAGAUCGGGACAACUAAUCGAAAGAUUAGCUAAUACCGGAUAUUAUGAGAUCUUGGCAUCAAGGACUUAUGAAAGCUAUAUGCGCUGAAGGAGAACUUUGCGUUCCAUUAGGUAGUUGGUAGGGUAAUGGCCUACCAAGCCGACGAUGGAUAGCCGGCCUGAGAGGGUGAACGGCCACAAGGGGACUGAGACACGGCCCUUACUCCUACGGGAGGCAGCAGUGGGGAAUAUUGGACAAUGGACCAAAAGUCUGAUCCAGCAAUUCUGUGUGCACGAUGAAGGUCUUCGGAUUGUAAACGUGCUUUCAGGUGGAAGAGAAAGUGACGGUACCACCAGAACGAAGCGACGGCUAAAUACGUGCCAGCAGCCGCGGUAAACCG
rnacentral:rRNA from 1 species